ACGCUCGACACCUACGGUAGGCAGCAGUGGGGAAUAUUGCACAAUGGGGGAAACCCUGAUGCAGCGACGCCGCGUGGAGGAAGAAGGUCUUCGGAUUGUAAACUCCUGUUGUUGGGGAAAAAGAGGAUGGUACCCAACAAGGAAGUGACGGCUAACUACGUCGCANNCGCGAGUAUNGNGGCGNGNGAGAG
rnacentral:rRNA from 1 species